rnacentral:rRNA from 1 species
UCGAGAAUCUUCGGCAAUGGGCGAAAGCCUGACCGAGAGACGCCGCGUGAGGGAAGAAGGCCUUCGGGUUGUAAACCUCUUUCGUAGAGGAGGAAGGGGCCGUGCAGAGCGGUCUUUGACCUAUUCUAGGAAGAAGCUUGGGCUAAGUUCGUGCCAGCAGCCGCGGUAAGACGAAACCAAAGCGAACGUUAUUCGGAAUUACUGGGCUUAAAGCGCGUGUAGGCGGAUGACCACGUCAGUCGUUGAAAUCCCCCGGCUCAACCGGGGAACAGGCGCUGAUACGAGUUGUCUGGAGGUGGGUAGGGGAGACUGGAACUUCCGGUGGAGCGGUGAAAUGCGUUGAGAUCGGA